rnacentral:rRNA from 1 species
GACGAACGCUGGCGGCAUGCCUAAUACAUGCAAGUCGAGCGAACAGAUGAAGUGCUUGCACUUCUGACGUUAGCGGCGAACGGGUGAGUAACACGUAAGGAAUCUACCUAUAAGCGGGGGAUAACAUUCGGAAACGGGUGCUAAUACCGCAUAAUAUCUUCUUCCGCAUGGAAGAAGAUUGAAAGACGGCUCUGCUGUCACUUAUAGAUGACCUUGCGGUGCAUUAGUUAGUUGGUGGGGUAAUGGCCUACAAAGACGAUGAUGCAUAGCCGACCUGAGAGGGUGAUCGGCCACAUUGGGACUGAUACACGGCCCAAACUCCUACGGGAGGCAGCAGUAGGGAAUCUUCCGCAAUGGGCGAAAGCCUGACGGAGCAAUGCCGCGUGAGUGAAGAAGGCCUUCGGGUCGUAAAACUCUGUUAUAAGAGAAGAACAAAUUGUAGAGUAACUGCUACAGUCUUGACGGUAUCUUAUCAGAAAGCCACGGCUAACUACGUGCCAGCAGCCGCCGUAA